AGGCCAAAUCACAGAAAGAUGAAGAUUCAAAUGAAGUCACUGAGGAAGAAGCAACACAGCAGCCAUUAGGAAAAGAUAAAACAGCCUUAUCAGCUGUUGAAGAUUCAACUGAAGACUCUGAGG